AUAAAUUUUCAUCUGGCGAGUCCCCGGACUAGGUUUCACUCUGGGUUUCUGGCCUCUGCCAGCAUCUGACCCAUUUAACUACAUUUAAAUGCUUUCAUUUGCAUAAAAUGCAUUUGGGCUUUGUUCCCCGGCCUGGUGGGCGUUGCAUUCGUUUUCGGUUUCCGUGUCUUUCUGUGCAUUUCUAAUGAAUUAUUAACCCAGAAUGGGUGAAAACGCAGCAUCCCAAUGCCGAUGCAUCUGCAGACCCGACAACCAAAGACCAAAGUCGGCCCAAAGCUAAUUGACUCUAAAAAUAGACGGAUCAGGUUUUUUUAGAACCCAACCUGGGGGGAACAAGUUUCCACAGAGGAGGCCCAGCCAAAGUCAAAGCCAAAGCUUUGUGCUCUGAGCUGGAAGACUCAGCACCACAAAUGGCUUUCUUGUAGAAUCGUUUAACCAAACAAGAAGACAACAAGAAAAAUCCGCCGAUCAAAUGCAAUCGAGUCAACAAGGAAUGAGAGUGAAAAAAAGACUAAGCAGGAGGAGUUGGGGGCAGCAUCAGAAGGAGUUACACAAGAUCGGUUCCAGACUGGGAUAAAGACUAAUAAUGGCUGCACAGUUGGACAAUGUACACUCGUAAAAACAAACAUGAUUGAUGACAACUACCAAGUCUCUGGUUAAGACUCCACCACCACAC